UUAUGUAGUCGGCACUUAAUGUAUAUCGGCUGAAUGGACGUCAGUGAUUGGUUGAAAUUACAGAAAUACGACAACUUUAACAUGGAAUACCUUAGGGAUUUCUUUUUUUUAAAGAAGACUAAGAGAAAAAGAUGUUUUAUAUGACACAUUCUACCAGUGUUCCAAGUUUCAAAGUGUUUCGUUAAUGAAAAAUGUGGCCCCCGUUUUAAAAAAGAUCCCAUUAUUAUUAUUAUUACAUUGCCUCUCAUCCUUUCGGAGUCGGUAAAAUUAGUACCAGGUGAACGCUAAAUCGAUGUGGUCGAUUAUCGCCACCCCUGAAACAAUCAUUAUUAUUAUUAAUAAGAAAAACCACACAAAAUCUAUGUGAAAUUUAGCUACCCAGAGUUUCCUAGCCGGAAUAUUAAAUUUAUUUUGGCAUUUGAAUUUCACCUGGUAUUUGUAUGUUAUUUUUAUUAAUAAUACCGUUUGGUCUAUUGUUGAACCUCAUGCCACGAAGUACAUGUGUAUGUGUUUUCAUCAAAACAAUUUCCUACUUAAUUGAAUUCAUUGUUGAUUUAUGACUAAUGAAAAUGUUGUCUUUCUCAAACAAAACUAUACGUACCAUUACAAAGAAUACUCUUGUGGGAAUUAGGUUUCCGCGUAUGAAAACCCGGUAAGUCCAUAUCUUACGGCAUUAUUGUACAAAGAAUAUUAGAUAAGGGAACAAAAUACAGAAAAACAAAUUGUAUAUCAACAUCAUUGUCUUGAUCAGUCUAGUGGCAUCAAAGGAGUUUGAAUUUUAUGGGCACCACUUCUUCUCUUGGAGUCUAAAAUAUUUUAAAAUUGACUCUGAGUAAAGUGGAGAUCAGACUAAGAGGCCCAUCACACAUUCUAUUGUUUUCUUACACUCAAGAGAAAAGAUGAUGCAAUUGUUCAAAUGUCAUUUUAGUUAGAUACAAGUUAGAUUUGGAGGCAUCAUCAUCAUCAUCGUUUGACAUCUGCCUUCCAUGCUAGCAUGGGUUGGAUGAUUUGACUGAGGACUGGUGGACCAGGUGGCUACACCAGACUCCAAUCUGAUCUGGCAGAGUUUCUACAGCUGGAUGCCCUUCCUAACGCCAACCACUCCGUGAGUGUAGUGGGUGCUUUUACAUGCCACCGGCACAAGGGCCAGUCUGGCAGUACUGGCAAUGGCCACGCUCAAAUGGUAUUUUUACGUGCCACCUGCACUGAACAAUUUGUGUCUUGAUAUGAACAUUUUUAAACCAGAAAUUAUUCAGUAUUGAAGUGUAGUUGAAUAAUGACAUUUUUGCUUUUGAUGAAACAUGAUUGAAGCUCUCUUUGAUUGAAGAUCUCUUUGUGAUUGUGUCAUCUGUAAAUCUAUUUGAUUAUCAAGCAUGAUUCCUGAAGGUGACAGAAAACAACGAGUAAUAUGAAACGCAGAUUUCAUGUCACUGGAAACACUUUAUAAUAAUAAAUCUGAAGGAAAACUGAUCGUUAGUAAAUCAUUGUUAUUGCUAUUUAUAUUGUUUGAUUAUAUACGUGGAACAUGUUUAAGCUAUUGUGCAUAACUACUGUCAGCAAGUUGAAAUUUAGUAAUAUCACCAAUCCAGAAGCUUCCAAUACACUUGCUUGUCUACCAUACAACUCAUGGGAUGCCUGUACCCUGGAGAGGAAACUCCAGUGUACCUUCACUGGGCUCUCACAACACAAAGAAAAUAAAUCUUUCCAGGCGUAGGAGUGGCUGUCUGGUAAGUAGCUUGCUUACCAACCACAUGGUGCCGGGUUCAGUCCCACUGCGUGGCACCUUGGGCAAGUGUCUUCUACUAUAGCCUCAGGCUAACCAAAGCCUUGUGAAUGGAUUUGGUAGACAGAAACUGAAAGAAGCCCGUCGUAUAUAUGUAUAUAUAUAUAUGUGUGUGUGUGUGUGUAUGUUUGUAUGUGUGUCUGUGUUUGUUCCCCCAACAUCGCUUGACAACCGAUGCUGGUGUGUUUACAUCCACAUAACUUAGCAGUUCAGCAAAAGAGAACAAUAGAAUA